CUUCGUUUCUUUAAGAAAUAGCGAUUUUAUAGUGCUUAGUCCUCCAAUUUAGGGAGUAUUACGAAGUUUUACUAAAUUAAUUGACAAAAACUCAAAACAAUGUCCAUGAACCAUGAAAUAGAGAUUAAUAUACAUUAAUACAAAUGAAGAAUGUGUUUAGAAAUUUAAAACAACUCGAAAGAUCAUAGGCUUCAAUAUAUAGAGCAUUUUACGAAAAUUCAAUAUUUUCGUAGGGAUUAACACAUAGAUUUUGAGAAAAAUUCAAUAAAUAUGAAAAUAUUGUUUUAAUGCAUAGUUGCAUCCUUCACCAACAUAUGAUGAAGUUUAAAGAUGUUU
rnacentral:lncRNA from 1 species